ensembl:lncRNA
AAAAUGAGCAAACAAUGAAAAAAGAAACUAAAUAUAGAAAGCUAUUUUGGUGACAGGGUAGACUUAAACUUAGAAGACAACAAAGUCAAUACUGCUGCACCCAAAACUUCCAAGAAAAAUAUUAAUUGCUUUCAAGUCCAAAAAGAAUUAAUGAAGGAAUUCAAAAAUGGGAUUUUAAAAAUCAGAGAGGUAGAAGAAAAAAAUUGAGAAAAAAUAUGAGUGAUACAGGAAAAUCAUGAAAAAAGAGAAACCCAGAUCCUACAGAGACCAAUGUUAAAGUGACUGAAAUUCUCUCAACUAUAUUUUUAACAAAAUGUUUCUUUAAUCUACUGAGUUCUACUACAUAACAACUAGGAUGUUUGGGGGGAACUCAAGCCUUGGCAGCCCAAACCCUCUGAGAGGAAGUCAGGUUGACUCACCCCUGGGCAACAGGAGCUGAGCUUGGAAGACAACAAAAGUAAUCCACCAACCUCAUCCUCCAUAGUAACUAGGAUGAUAGGCUACCCUACUCUGCUUAUCUGCACCACAGUGCUGUUUCUCCCAUCAAGUUUCAUCAAUGUCCCAUCAGGACAUAAGCUCCUUGGAGCAGAAAUCCUGCUGCUGCCUCUGUCUCUAAGACAUAUAACUCUGUCUCUAUUUGCCUUGAUGGAAUAUUAGAAAAGGAAUGACCAUGGAAAAGGACCAAGAUGGCGGCCCUUCCCAUCCAUUACCAUCAUGUGUGUCAUGAUACCUUGAUUCACUAUGUUUCUGGGGUUCUCAUACCAAGGGCUAAUAUAUUGGUUUAUGAGACUCAGUGAAUGGACAUGAACAUCAGAAUGAGCUUUUUUUGCAGAAAGUUUCUUUCUUUGAAUUAAAAAUCUCAGCAUUUCCAUUUAUUUCAAGUGACAUUGUUUCAGUCCUGAGGUGGGACUUUUAAAUAUGCUUUUCAAUAGUUUGCAUAUGACUUAGAGAAUAAACUAGAGUAAUUUUCAGUAUUGUCCCCA